rnacentral:rRNA from 1 species
AAUGGCCGCAGUAUUUUGACUGUGCAAAGGUAGCGUAAUCAUUAGUUUUUUAAUUAAGAACUUGUAUGAAUGGUCGGAUGAGGGGAUAACUGUCUCUGCUCUAUUUUUGUAGAAUUUUAUUUUUGAGUUAAAAAGCUUAAAUUUUUAUUAAAGACGAGAAGACCCUAUAGAGUUUAAUAUUAAGUAUUAGCUAUUAUUUAGGGAUUAAUCUAUUUUUAUUUAUUUAUUAUUUUGUUGGGGUGAUGGGAAAACUAAAUUAACUUUUUUUCCUUUAUUUAUACAUUAAUUUUUGGUUUCAUGAUCCAGUUUUUUUGAUUAAAAGUUCAAAUUACCUUAGGGAUAACAGCGUAAUCUUUUUGGCGAGUUCUUAUCAAUAUAAAGGUUUGCGACCUCGAUGUUGGAUUAAAAUUAACAGUUGGCGCAGAAGUUGACGUGUUGGGUCUGUUCGACCUUUAAAAUUUUACAUGAUCUGAGUUUAAACCGGCGUAAGCCAGGUUGGUUUCUAUCUUGAUUUAUUUUUGGUAUUUUAGUACGAAAGGAUCGGAUACUAUUAAUUUUUAAUUUUUAUGGAUAAUUUUGUUACUUUGGCAGAUUAGUGCAUUAAAUUUAGAAUUUAAUUAUGUAUGGUUAAUACAGGUAAUACUUGAUUU